rnacentral:rRNA from 1 species
AUUGAACGCUGGCGGCAUGCUUUACACAUGCAAGUCGAACGGCAGCGCGGGCUUCGGCCUGGCGGCGGGUGGCGAACGGGUGAGUAAUGCAUCGGAACGUGCCCAGUAGUGGGGGAUAGCCCGGCGAAAGCCGGAUUAAUACCGCAUACGACCUGAGGGUGAAAGCGGGGGACCGAAAGGCCUCGCGCUAUUGGAGCGGCCGAUGUCGGAUUAGCUAGUUGGUGGGGUAAAGGCUUACCAAGGCGACGAUCCGUAGCUGGUCUGAGAGGACGACCAGCCACACUGGGACUGAGACACGGCCCAGACUCCUACGGGAGGCAGCAGUGGGGAAUUUUGGACAAUGGGGGCAACCCUGACCCAGCCAUGCCGCGUGCGGGAAGAAGGCCUUCGGGUUGUAAACCGCUUUUGUUCGGGAAGAAAUCCUCUGGGCUAAUACCCCGGGGGGAUGACGGUACCGGAAGAAUAAGCACCGGCUAACUACGUG